rnacentral:rRNA from 1 species
GAUGAACGCUGGCGGCGUGCCUAAUACAUGCAAGUCGAGCGAACAGACGAGGAGCUUGCUCCUCUGACGUUAGCGGCGGACGGGUGAGUAACACGUGGAUAACCUACCUAUAAGACUGGGAUAACUUCGGGAAACCGGAGCUAAUACCGGAUAAUAUAUUGAACCGCAUGGUUCAAUAGUGAAAGACGGUUUUGCUGUCACUUAUAGAUGGAUCCGCGCCGCAUUAGUUAGUUGGUAAGGUAACGGAUUACCAAGGCGACGAUGCGUAGCCGACCUGAGAGGGUGGUCGGCCACACUGGAACUGAGACACGGUCCAGACUCCUACGGGAGGCAGCAGUAGGGAAUCUUCCGCAAUGGGCGAAAGCCUGACGGAGCAACGCCGCGUGAGUGAUGAAGGUCUUCGGAUCGUAAAACUCUGUUAUUAGGGAAGAACAAAUGUGUAAGUAACUAUGCACGUCUUGACGGUACCUAAUCAGAAAGCCACGGCUAACUACGUG